UGAGUUUCUGACCUAUCAACUCGAGACGGCGGGGUAGAGGCCCGCCGCGGUAACGACGGGUAACGGGGAAGUCAGGGUUCGAUUCCGGAGAGGGAGCCCGAGAAACGGCUACCACUUCCAAGGAAGGCAGCAGGCGCGCAACUUACCCUAAUCUCGAUUCGAGGAGGUAGUGACAGAAAUACCGAUGCGGGGACCCUACGGGUGCCGCGUUCGGAAUGAGUACGAUUCGAACCACCUAACGAGGAACGAUCGGAGGGCAAGUCUGGUGCCAGCAGCCGCGGUAAUUCCAGCUCCAAUAGCGUACGUUAAAGUUGCUGCAGUUAAAAAGCUCGUAGUUGAACGUUCGGGUUCCGCGGGACGGGGCCGCCCCGCGAGGGACGGCGCCGCCCCGGGGCUCGUGAUAUCUCAUCUCGCCGCCCGUCGCGAGGCGGACGGAGGGAUGGAUGAGGUUACCUGGAAAAAAUCGGGGCGAUCUAGGCGGGCGAACCUCGCCAACGAACGAUCGGACAUGGGAUAACGGAAGAGGGCGUCGGCUCGACUUCGUCGGUUCCUCGGGCCGAGGCACGUACGGUGAAUAGGG
rnacentral:rRNA from 1 species